GUUGGAUUUCCAUCAAAUUAAUAGAUGUAGCUUUUUCCCAAAAAAUUAUACCUCCUAUCUUAAACACAUAAAAGAAUGCAGCGAUGUUACCUUUUUUUUUUUUUUUUUUUUAACUUUAAAAAUACGAGGAGACAAAAUAUGAACAAACGAAACCAAUUUAUCCAAAUAAGAGAGUAAAUUAACAAGUAAAUCAAGAUUUCGUUCAUCCCCAUACUUUCCAAUAAAUAUGAAGAUUCAUUUUGAAUUAAAUAAUCGUAAAAAAACUACUUAAAUAACAAAAACAAUCAAAACCCAUUUCACAUCAACCUAAUUAUCAAAUUAUCCCUUACCAAAAAACUAAAAAGGAAACAAAGAAAAAUAAUGGGGAAAAAAUACCUAUGAAAUCAAAUCAACAAUAAAGUAAAGUAUAAUCCAUCAGAUUACAGGUACUCUCUCUCUGUCACAUGCGGACAUGAGCACACAAAGAAAGACACUGAUUUGCAUCUUUUGCAGUCUAUAUAUGUUACCUGAUUGAUAUCCUUUGAUUAAAAAGCAACAAAUUAUUUUAUGACUCUUUAGUUCCCGCACUAAUUAACAAUUUGAACUUGAAACACCUUGAAUCAAAUCACCCCUAUUUCUUGAUUUCUUUCUUCACUUCCAUUUAGGGUUUAGUAGUAGCGUUUUUUUUUUUUUUUUUUUUUUGUUUAAAUUGAGCAAAAAGGGGAAAUUUAGGCCAAGUUUGAAGAUGAAAAACAGAAACUAACAAUUUCAUAAUUAUAUCUGGCAAUUGUCAUUCAUAGUUUCAUACUCUACAAAUUACUUUCAAUUAGCCGAGAAAGAAGGAGAUCCAAACUAUUCCAUGGGCUUGUAUUGAUUAUUGAACAGUAAAAAGAGUUUCCGUCCCUUGUUUGAGGGUUUCAGCACUCACCAGAAAAAUAAUUUUCAGCCGUCGCCCGUUAUUUUGCAAUCCUUGUGUGCAUAUGAGCAGCACCGUCCGGCAGAGUUUUCUUCUUCUAUUAGGGCUUCGUUUGGUUUUGGAGAGAGAGAAAUGAGUUAAUUUCAAAUGAGAAGAGUUAACUCGGCAACCGUAUGGAGUGAGAGAGAGAAAAAGUAGUCUUUAUACUAUAGAUAUUUAAUGAUUAGUAGUAAACUGGAUAAUGAACAGUGCG
rnacentral:lncRNA from 1 species